rnacentral:rRNA from 1 species
AACGAACGCUGGCGGCAGGCCUAACACAUGCAAGUCGAACGAACCUUCGGGUUAGUGGCGCACGGGUGCGUAACGCGUGGGAAUGUACCCCUGAGUGAGGAAUAACGUAGAGAAAUUUGCGCUAAUACCUCAUAAUGUCUUCGGACCAAAGAUUUAUCGCUCAGGGAUCAGCCCGCGUCAGAUUAGAUAGUUGGUGAGGUAACGGCUCACCAAGUCGACGAUCUGUAGGGGGUCUGAGAGGAUGAUCCCCCACACUGGUACUGAGACACGGACCAGACUCCUACGGGAGGCAGCAGUGAGGAAUAUUGGACAAUGGGGGCAACCCUGAUCCAGCCAUGCCGCGUGAGUGAAGAAGGCCUUAGGGUUGUAAAGCUCUUUCAAUUGUGAAGAUAAUGACGGUAGCAAUACAAGAAGCUCCGGCUAAAUUCGUGCCAGCCGCCGCCGUAACAC